GCUUUUCUUUCCUCGACACUUCCCAGAUUGGCUGGAGAUGCCAGGAUCAUUGAUACUUCUUCUGGUUGUGGCUCCCAGUUUCUUUGCUCACACCUUGAAGGACAGCUGGGUUGGUGUCUUGAUAUGCCUCUUGAUUNAUCAUUGGUUGUUACUUGCUGCAAGAGCACAUCAGGGCAUCUGGUGGAUUCAGAAACUCCUUCACACAAUCCCAUGGAAUAUCAAACACUGUUGGCAUUAUCUUGCUGUUGGUUUACCCAGUAUGGGCACUGGUACUCCACUUCAUCUAGGCGAUUAUAAUAGCCCAAUGAAUUGGACUAGUCAACUGGAACUUGAACAAUCAUUUUCAUGUCUUAUGCUUAAAUCUAUUCAAAUCUUAGAAAUAGAUUUAAGCAUAAGACAUGAAAAUGAUUGUUCAAG
rnacentral:misc_RNA from 1 species